AUUGAACGCUGGCGGAAUGCUUUACACAUGCAAGUCGAACGGUAGAGGGGGCAACCCCUCGAGAGUGGCGAACGAGUGAGUAAUAUAUCGGAACGUGCCCAGUCGUGGGGGAUAACGUAGCGAAAGUUACGCUAAUACCGCAUACGAUCUAAGGAUGAAAGCGGGGGAUCGCAAGACCUCGAGCGAUUGGAGCGGCCGAUAUCAGAUUAGGUAGUUGGUGGGGGAAAGGCUCACCAAGCCAACGAUCUGUAGCUGGUCUGAGAGGCCGACCAGCCACACUGGAACUGAGACACAGUCCAGAACCCUACGGGAGGCAGCAGUGGGGAAGUUUGGACAAUGGACGCAAGUCUGAUCCAGCCAUUCCGCGUGCAGGAUGAAGGCCCUCGGGUUGUAAACUGCUUUUGUACGGAACGAAAAGGUCUCUCUUAAUACGCGGGGCUCAUGACGGUACCGUAAGAAUAAGCACCGGCUAACUACGUGCCAGCCGCCGCGGUAA
rnacentral:rRNA from 1 species